ACAGCAAAGAAAACCCUAAACAAAACAAAGACAACCCACAGAAUGGGAGAAAAUAUUUUCAAAUGAAGCAACUGACAAGGGAUUAAUCUCCAAAAUUUAUAAACACCUCCUGCAGCUCAAUACCAAAAAAAAAAAAAAAAACAAAGAACCUUAUCAAAAAAUGUACAGAAGAUCUAAACAGUUCUCCAAAGAAGACAUACAGAUGGCCAAAAAACACACAUGAAAAGAAGUUCAGCACCACUAAUUUUUAGAGAAAUGCACAUCAAAACCACUAUGAGGGACCACCUUACACCAGGUAGAAUGGCUGUCAUCAAAAAAUCUACAAACAAUAAAUACUGGAGAAGGUGUGGAGAAAAGGGACCCUAUUACAUUGUUGGUGGGAAUGUAAAUUGUUGCAGCCACUGUGGAAAACAGUAUGGUGAUUCCUCAGAAAACUAAAAAUAGAAUUACCAUUUGAUCCAGCAAUCCCACUUCUGGGCAUCUAUCCAGAGAAAACCAUGACUUGAAAAGAUACAUGUACUCUGAUGUUCAUUGCAGCACUAUAUGCAAUAGCGAAGACAUGGAAACAACCUAAAUGUCCAUUGACAGAGGAGUGGAUAAAGAAGGUAAGGUACAUAAACACAAUAGAAUAUUACUUAGCCAUUAAAAGGAAAGAAAUAAUGGUAUUUACAGCAACAUGGAUUGACCUAGAAAUUAUCAUGUUAAGUGAAGUUAGACAGUGAGACACCAACAUCAUAUGCUAUCACUUACAUGUGAAAUCUAAAAAAAGGACACAACAAAAUUCUGUGUAGAACAAAUACUGACUCAUAUACUUUGAAAAACUUAUGGUUUCCAAAGGAGACUGAUUGGGGGGUGGGUGGAUGCACUGGGCUUUGGGAUGAAAAUGCUGUAAGAUUGAGUUGUGAUGAUCAUUGUACAACUAUUAAUGUAAUAAAAUUCUUUGAGUAAUUAAAUAAAUAAAAUGAGCAUCUGUUAGAGGAUUCAUUUCAAACAAGGUUAAUUCAAUAUUCAGACAUUUCACCAACAUGGCAGUAAUUGUAAACACAAAAAUCCAGCCUCCAAAAUUAUAAAAGUAACUUAUCUCUUACAUUUAACAUGAUUAUCCACCAAAAAAAGAGAAUAAAUUUUAAAUGAAAUUGAAAAAGACUUCCGUGUUGCUUUAUUUUGACUUUUUUAUGUAAAUUUUGUAAUUCUCUUUUAUCAGUUUUAUAAUUUUGGAAAAUUAAAAUAUUAUAUUACAUUUCUAGUAACAGUAAUCACCAAAUAUAGUUCACAAGGACUUGAAAAGAUAUAUGUUUGAUAUAUACAGUUAAAACUAUCAAAACACUUUCAGGUUUACAAAAGAAGACAAGAAUAAUACGUAUACCUUAUUGUAAUACAAAAAGCACAAUAACUGAACAUUGGAGACAUCAAUAGGCUAUAAUAAGUUAUUGUACUUAAAAUUCAGUAGAUAUUUGGAUGGUUGCUUGUUUUGUUAUGUUGAACUUUACAGAGUAUUCUAAAAUUCAUCUGAGAGAACUAAAGGGUGAAAACAAAAAAAAAGCUUUUUUUGAAAAAAUUAUUUAAUGAGGUAAAGUCAACCUUGUUACAUAUUACAACAAAAUGAAUACUCAGUUAGUAAAAUACAAUAUUGCAAGAAUGACUAUAAAUUAACACCUCAUCCAAAAAAUUUUUGAAAAAGAAAGCAGAAUUGGAAUUAGUUAAAUCGAUUAUUUUAGGGAAAAAAUUUUGAUAACUCUUGUUCCUCACUAUAUAUAAUAAAAUAUACAUCAGAGUUAUUAAAGUCCUAAUUUUAAGAAAAGUAAUAAUCUAAAAGAAAAUGGAAGUAAUGAUUUUAUAGUAAGGAAAUUUUCUUGGUUAAUGAAAUAUCAAAGGGAAAAUGCAUAGAGUUUACUACCUAACAAAAUUAUACUACCUAAAAUAUACACAAAAUAUGAUAAUAUAAAAAUAAGCAUACACAAAAAUAAUAUACAUAAACUAAAUAUAUAUGUGAAUAUAAAAAUAAGAAUAAAUAUAUUUAAUAAAACAAUAAAACAAAUUUAAAACACAGAUAACAGAAUAAAUCAAUAUAUACAAAAAUUUAAUCUAUGAUAAACAUAAAACAUUUACACAGCUAAAACAACUGAAUGCAAUGACAAUACAUUUGGAGAAUGUUUGCAUGACUUUGGCCGAGAUUUAACACCCAUAGCAAAAGAGGCUUCAAAAUUGGAAUAUAAUAUAAAACUCGGCAAAAGAUAUUAAUGGUUAAUUCAUAUGGGAAAAUAAACAUGUUAUAUGUUCAAUAUAGCGUGUAACAAAAAUUAAAACAGUAUAGCGCUUUUCUCCUAUUUUUUUUUUUUGCUCAUAAAAUUAAUAAGCAUAAGCCUAGGAUUGUUUACAGUAGGGUAAAAAGGGUAAUCUUAUAUAUUAGUAGUGGAGUUUUAACUUGGUGUAAACUGUCUGGAAAAAAGUUUAUAAUUUUAUUGAGUCUUUUAAGUGUUCAUACAUUUUGGGUAAGUUCAUUUCUUCUAGAAUUUACUAAAGAAAUCAUCAAUCAGAUAUGGUGAUAGAUGUUUAUGUAACAGAGAUUUCCAUGACAGUUUUUAAAAUAAUGUCCAAAAUUGGAAAUAAGCCCAUGCCCCAAGAGAAGGUAAAUGGUGAAAUAAAUAUGAAAAUAUCUACAUAUUUUGAAGCAACUAAAAAAAAGCUUUUAAGAUUAUUUAAUAAUAUAGAGGAAAGCUCAUGUUUUAAUUAACAGUCAAAACAAUUCAACCAUUCUCUUAAAUUGUUAACGUCAGGUCCUGCCCCCCAGUAAGAAUUAGAAUUCCAAGCCUUGGAGUUCCUAUUAUGGCUCAGUGAUAAAGAACUUAAUUAGUAUCCAUGAGGACACAGGUUCUAUCCCUGGCCUUGCUCAGUGGGUUGAGGAUCCAGUGCUGCCUUGAGCAGAUGCAUCUCAGAUCCAGUGUGGCUGUGGUGUAGGCUGGCAGCUGCAGCUCUGAUUCGACCCCUAGCCUGGGAACUUCCAUAUGCCAUGGGUGUGGC
rnacentral:lncRNA from 1 species